GAUGCGGUGGGGCGGAGCGGGGCGCGGCCGUUCCCUUCAUCCUUCUGGCUGCCUGUGGUGCCCCGCCGGCAGCUGCCGUGCCCCUCUCCGCCCUGCCCUGCCGCGCCCCGCCCUCGGGUGGCUCCGGUCCUGCUAGAGCUGUUGCCUUUGUCGGCGAGGUCUAGGGUCGGCCGCGGCCUGAGGCGGCGGUUGGGAGCAGGUCCGCGUUGCCCUUUAGGCGUUGAUAACGGCCGGGAGCGCUGUACAGUACCGCGCUGGCCGGGGCACUCCGCUUUGCGGCCAUCGCCGCGGGUCCCGGAGCCACAGCCGGGAACACCCGAGGAUGCGCGGCACUGCCAGCUCUCUGCUUCCCGUUGGUGCCGUGACGGUGUGCGAGGCGGAUCCCAGCCGGGUAAAUGGGAAAGUUUCCGUCCGGGAGAGCUAACCCGGGUUUCCCAUGGCACUAGAAGAUCACUUGAAAUAGAAGGCCUCUAUAUUUUGAAGUGACAAUCGUAAUCAAGAUGGUUGGAAAACUGAAGCAGAACUUGCUGUUGGCAUGCCUGGUGAUCAGCUCAGUGACAGUGUUUUAUCUGGGCCAGCACGCUAUGGAGUGCCACCACCGCAUAGAGGAGCGCAGCCAGCCCGCCAGGGUGGAAAGCCUGAGGAGCACAGUAAGAACUGCCCCCAGUGUGAAUGCCAACAAAAGCUUUGCUUACAACAAAGACAUGCCUUUAAUAUUUAUUGGAGGGGUACCUCGAAGUGGCACCACCUUAAUGCGUGCCAUGCUGGAUGCCCACCCGGACAUUCGGUGUGGAGAAGAGACCAGGGUGAUCCCGCGGAUCCUGGCGGUCAAGCAGAUGUGGGCUAGGUCAAGCAAAGAGAAGAUCCGACUGGAUGAAGCUGGGGUCACAGAUGAGGUGCUGGACUCAGCCAUGCAGGCCUUUUUACUGGAAAUCAUUGUCAAACACGGGGAGCCUGCUCCCUAUUUGUGUAACAAAGACCCUUUUGCUUUAAAAUCCUUAACUUAUCUGGCUAGAAUUUUCCCCAAUGCCAAAUUUCUUCUAAUGGUUCGGGAUGGACGUGCAUCUGUGCAUUCCAUGAUCUCUAGAAAAGUGACAAUAGCUGGAUUUGACCUUAACAGCUACAGGGACUGCUUGACCAAGUGGAAUCGUGCCAUAGAAACUAUGUAUAACCAGUGCAUGGAGGUUGGGUUUGAGAGGUGUAUGCUGGUCCAUUAUGAGCAGCUUGUAUUGCAUCCUGAAAGAUGGAUGAGAACUCUCUUAAAGUUCCUUCACAUCCCAUGGAACCAAGCAGUGCUGCACCAUGAAGAAAUGAUUGGAAAAGCAGGGGGUGUUUCUCUUUCAAAGGUCGAAAGAUCUACUGACCAAGUAAUCAAGCCAGUCAAUGUGGAAGCACUGUCAAAGUGGGUUGGGAAGAUACCUGCUGAUGUGUUGCAGGAUAUGCCUGUGAUUGCACCCAUGCUAGCAAAACUGGGCUACGAUCCAUAUGCCAAUCCACCAAACUAUGGGAAGCCAGAUCAGAAAGUUGUGGAAAACACAAGGAGGGUGUUUAAAGGUGAAUUUCAGCUUCCUGACUUUCUUAAAGAAGUGCCACAGCCAAAGAAGACAGUAGAAAGGAAGUUUCGUGGCAAGAUAAAGUGAACAUGGAUCAGUAAAGUCCAAUAGCUACUGAGCCUAUGGAAUAGAAGAUCCAACAGAUACUUCUUGCACAGAAGGAAAAAAAAAAGACUGCUGCCUUUUCAGUGGAAACAACCUUACAAGGACUUGACCCACCAAGAUCAGGGAGGUUACUGCCCAUGGCCUGCUUUGUUCAGGAUUUUCUCCCCCAUUUCUUUCACGGUUUUAAUUCAAAACUUUUGCUGUUGUGACCGCAUGAGGCCUGUUGAGGAGGGAAAAAAAAAGAAACACCAAACAGCUGUCUGAUGUUAAUGUAGAACUGUGUUAUAUUUGCACAACUACUUGGGUUUGUUUUAAAGCAGUGUCUGUCUCCAGAAUCGCUCUUCUGUCUUUAAUUUGCAAAAACUCCCUCUUCAAAGGUUUUCUUUCUUUCUUUGUUUGUUUUCCUAUAGCAGUUUGGUUUCAAAUGCCUGAAGCUUUCAAAAGAGUGAUCCGUGCUUGUCCUAAGAGAUCCUUUUUUUUUUUUGGUGGAACAGUUGCUUGGUUUAUGGACAUGUGGAAAUGGUUAAAUAUCUUUUUAUUUAAAAGAAAAAGAAAGGGGAGGGGGAAAAAAAGCUGAGAAAUUACAUGUACAAUUAGGAGCCAACGAUUAUUUUGUAUUUUAUUUUUCAAAAUAAAUGCUUUAAAUGUGA